UACAGAGGUGGCAAGCGUUGUUCGGAUUUACUGGGCGUAAAGCGCACGUAGGCGGAUCGUUAAGUCGGGGGUGAAAUCCUGGAGCUCAACUCCAGAACUGCCUUCGAUACUGGCGAUCUUGAGUCCGGAAGAGGUGAGUGGAACUCCUAGUGUAGAGGUGGAAUUCGUAGAUAUUAGGAAGAACACCAGUGGCGAAGGCGGCUCACUGGUCCGGUACUGACGCUGAGGCGCGAAAGCCAGGGGAGCAAACGGG
rnacentral:rRNA from 1 species